rnacentral:lncRNA from 1 species
GGCUGACACAUACUUUUUUCUAAGGCAUGUUUUGUACUUGUUGGACAGUCUUAAUAACCAAUCAUAUUUAUGUGUCCAUGAUUUAUUCUAAAAAUUAAUAAAGAUGAUUUUAUAUAUUCUUAAGGUAUUGAGAAUUUGAGACAUACAUCAUUAGUGAUUAAUUUCUAAAUAUUUUCGAUCGAAGAAUCAUCACGGAGGAUAGUGAUC